rnacentral:rRNA from 1 species
UACAGAGGGUGCGAGCGUUAAUCGGAAUUACUGGGCGUAAAGCGCACGUAGGUGGCUUGGCAAGUCGGGUGUGAAGUCCCCGGGCUCAACCUGGGAACUGCAUUCGAGACUGCCUUGCUAGAGUAUGGGAGAGGGAAGUGGAAUUUCCGGUGUAGCGGUGAAAUGCGUAGAUAUCGGAAGGAACAUCAGUGGCGAAGGCGACUUGCUGGACCAAUACUGACACUCAGGUGCGAAGGCGUGGGGAGCAAACAGG